rnacentral:rRNA from 1 species
AAGGAAUAUUGCUCAAUGGGAGAAAUCCUGAAGCAGCAACGCCGCGUGGAGGAUGAAGGGUCUAUGACUUGUAAACUCCUGUAAAGAAGGAAAAAAUUCCCAUUAGAUGGGAGAUGAUGGUACUUCUGGAGUAAGCCCCGGCUAACUACGUGCCAGCAGCCGCGGUACUACGUAGGGGGCAAGCGUUGUCCGGAUUUACUGGGUGUAAAGGGUGCUCAGGUGGAUUUGUAAGUCAGAGGUGAAAUCUUACAGCUUAACUGUGAAACUGCCUUUGAUACUGCAAGCCUAGAGUAUGGAAGAGAGUGAUGGAAUAUCUGGUGUAGCAGUGAAAUGCGUAGAUAUCAGAUAGAACACCAAUGGCGAAGGCAGUCACUUGGUCCAUUACUGACGCUAAAGCACGAAAGCGUGGGUAGCAAACA